UGAGCCAAGUUUAGGGUUUUCUCAAAACCCAAGCAGUAUUGAACUGAAGAGUUUGAUCAUGGCUCAGAUUGAACGCUGGCGGCAGGCCUAACACAUGCAAGUCGAGCGGAUGAAGGGAGCUUGCUCCUGGAUUCAGCGGCGGACGGGUGAGUAAUGCCUAGGAAUCUGCCUGGUAGUGGGGGAUAACGUCCGGAAACGG
rnacentral:rRNA from 1 species